CCUACGGGAGGCUGCAGUGAGGAAUAUUGGUCAAUGGGCGCGAGCCUGAACCAGCCAAGUCGCGUGAGGGAUGACGGUCCUAUGGAUUGUAAACCUCUUUUGUCGGGGAGCAAAAGACGCCACGCGUGGCGUUCCGAGAGUACCCGAAGAAAAAGCAUCGGCUAACUCCGUGCCAGCAGCCGCGGUAAUACGGAGGAUGCGAGCGUUAUCCGGAUUUAUUGGGUUUAAAGGGUGCGCAGGCGGAAGAUCAAGUCAGCGGUAAAAUUGAGAGGCUCAACCUGUGUAUGGCACUUGAUACUUGCAAGCUGGAAUGCGGUAGAGGUAAGGGGAAUUCCUGGUGUAGCGGUGAAAUGCUUAGAUAUCAGGAGGAACAUCGAUGGCGUAAGCGCUUUACUGGGCCGUAAUUGACGCUGAGGAACGAAAGCCAGGGUAGCAAAUGGGAUUAGAUACCCCUGUAGUC
rnacentral:rRNA from 1 species